rnacentral:misc_RNA from 1 species
GGGACAGUGUUAGGUUGCAGCGACUGUUGAUCAAGCUGAUGAUAACUGCACUACAGUAGUGUGCAUCUUCAAAUUGGCGUCGAGUUCGUCGAUGGCUGUUACAGGUAUUCCAGUUAUUUUCGUACUGGACAUCAAAAAUUGAGGUGAAAUGUUUACGAAUCGUUCAACAACAAACAAACCAAAAUAAUUGAGAAAAAACGCCGGAGAACAUCGCAGGCAAGGAAAACAAUUUGCGUCCUUUGAAAAAAAGAAAGAAUAAAAGAGAGUCCAGUUUAUUAUUAUACUUUUUUCACCCCCUGGUGGCGCUUCCGCUAUAAUUACACAAGAGUUCUAGACCACUAAUCAUCAUCAUCAUCAUCAUCAUCAUCAUCAUCAUCAUCAACAUAAUCGUCAAAAAAGAGACACGAUACGCUGACGUUAAUCGGUGUGUGGCCUGCUGCGUCUUCGCGCAUACGGCUGAUGCGUAUCAAAUCAUCUGAAAUGGUUUCCGUGUCUUGAAGACAUUGUUAUCCCAGUGGUGGUGCUUGACCGGUUAAUUACUAUGGAUACAGCCAGUGCCCGUGAAAAGCUCGGAUAGUAAAAGUAGUAUGUACCAAUAAUACGGUAGUUCCUGGAAAUCGGUCUCUGCGAUCUAUGGCUAAACGCGAGUUCCAUCGUCACUCGCUUUGUGUUCGUUCUUCAUUUUUAUACGUUGUCACAUCGCAGAAGUGACCAACCAAUCUAAGGGCGGAGUAUUGGACUUUUUGUUUUAUCUCAGGAAAUUUGUUUCCGUAAUCGUAAAUCGACAUCUAGUGUUGAAGAUCUACGUUUUAACAGUCAGAGAUUCAUUCAUUUAUUCAUGUCUUGGCCAGAGCUGGGACACUCGAGUUAAGGAGAAUAUUAUGAUGGCGUUAAAGAUCAUCUGUGUUGUUCUUGCUGUGUUUGCCAGUUUACGUGUUGUGGAACCUGAUCAAAGAACAAUGGAUAAAACGUUUAAUUCCUACGUAAUCAAGGCCAGAUGCCAAGCACAUUGCAAUGAAAAGUUUGGAAAACAACUUCAAACCACCGCGGCUGACGUCUUUGAUGUUUACAAGUCAUAUAUAUGUGUCGAGAAUGUCUCCGUUUGUGAAAAGUGCAGUUUACCGUGCCAAAACUCGGAACAUUCAAACAUAACUGAAUGCAAAGAACUGUGUGUUCAGAAAUACCGCUCAGUUUGCCAAGAUUCAUGUGACGUCUUUUACCAAAUAAAGACCCAAGAGAAAACCCAGCAAGAUUACGUUAGAAGUGGAAUACAGCUUUAUCUCACUGGACCGGAAGUGACGUGCAAACACAGCCAAAAGGGUCACGGCAGAUCUCCAGAUGUGCACAUGGUGUAUCUGCGAUGGAACGUGAGGAAUGAGGCGAACGAGUCGACCGGCCUACCCCUCACGUUUGUGGUCGGUAUGAGAAGACGUCUGCACAAGAAUGAAGACCCGCCGUGGGGAGUUUUAGGCAAAACAAAUUUUAGUUUUGUACCUGUACGAAGACUGUUACCGGGGGCGAAGUACCAGUUUAACGUGACAGCCAUCAUGGCAAACGGCACGGUGGACGUUACCAAGAGAACAAAAUGGGUGACCAUACCACAAGCAACAGACAAACAGACAGCACCCAGGAAUGUGAGAAUUGUCAAGCAGUAUAUGAAGGGAUCGUCAGUUACAGCAGUCGUCAGAUGGACCCCUGGACUUUCUGGGGGAUGUUUCUUCAAACUUCACUGGAUGAUCCUCAACAGUAUAAGGGACACGUUCGAUUCGAGAGAUAUUAGAUUGUGGCCCGAGUUCAAGUACGAGUUGACGAACCUGAAGUUCGACCAGACGUACUCCGUAGACGUGCAGACGUACGACAAGGACUUCCAGACGAGUAGCAAGCUGACCACCCUCGUCUUCAAGACCCUGAGCUGUCUCCCCACCACACACUACAACUACAGGAUAUGUGAACCAGAAUCACCUCGGGAACUAGAAUGCAAAGUUGGAGAGCCAUACAAACGUAACAACAGCAUGCUGGUUAACGUCACAGUCACGUGGUUAUCUCCCCUGCACAUGAACACGAACAACAGGAUAAGCGAGAUCAAUGUGAAGUGGCACAAAAAGCCGCAUCUUUCCAUCAGUGAGAAAAUACCAGCACACCACGGAUCUGUGUCCUUACCAGGGAAUGCUACCCAGUAUGUGAUUCGUGGCCUCCAUAUGCAUUCCGUUUACUGGAUCCACGUCAUCGCCAAGACACCUGGCGGAGAAUCGAAAAUCGGCAAAACGGUGGAGAUAGGGGCAGCUUAUUCAGAUCUCCUACAUGAAAAUGACCAAGAUCAACUCACAGACGCAAACGGUGUGCCGACGUCGUCGGACGUGAACAUCUACUACCUGGCUAUCCUGCCCGUGCUGCUGGCCGUUAUAGCCCUGCUCGUGUUCGUUGUGUACAGACUGCAGUGUCGCAGGAAGAUGCUCAGGGCAGACGGGAUGCACAUCUGUAUGGCAAAACAGGAAUUCAACCCCAUAUAUGGCAGUGUCGUGUCCGGCGCCGCCUGCAAGGACGAGUCGGCGCUAUAUCUACUGCCAGACGACUACGAGAUAGAGUUCUCUCGCCUGGAGUUCAUGACCAUUCUCGGAGAGGGCGCGUUUGGUCGAGUCAUGAAGGCACGACUUUCAGGAGACGCGGCUACACGUACGGUAGCCGUCAAAAUGCUCAAAGACUACGCGACGCCGGAGGAGCGCCGAAGCCUGCUGCUGGAGAUCGAGACGAUGAAGCAGUUCGGUCAGCACCAGAACGUGGUCAGCAUGUUGGGCUGCUGCAGCGCCGGACCCGACAUCUGUCUCAUCAUGGACUACUGUCCGCUCGGGGAUCUCCGGACUUACCUGAGGAAGUACCGCGAGAAGUACAUAUAUCGUACAAUUCCUGGCAAGUUAGACGGCAUCUGUUACACACAGAUCAAAAGUCGUCUCAAUUCCGACAGCGGGAUAAGCCAUGCAAGUAACGCAUCUACAGGAAAAGUUGGUAACGAGGUUUCCGGCUCUGACGAGACAAGGUCAACCUUCACCUCUCGAAGAUUUGGUUCGCUUCUGUCAUGUGAUGCGCCGGACAAUGACGGCCCAGAUUCUGUUAUUAUUGAUGACUACGAGGAAGGCAUUAACCAAGGCACUCUUCUGUCGUACGCUCGGCAAAUCGCCAUGGGCAUGGAAUUCCUUUCACAGAGGAAGUUUGUACACCGAGACCUUGCGGCUCGGAAUAUUCUUGUCUACAGCUCCAGGUUGUUGAAGCUAUCUGAUUUCGGCUUGACAAGAGACAUAUAUGAAACUAAUGUGUACCAGCCCACGUCGGCUCGAAGACUGCCGUAUAAGUGGAUGCCCUUGGAAUCCAUCUUCGACAACAUCUUUACAAUCAAAAGUGACAUAUGGUCGUUUGGAGUAGUACUUUGGGAGAUAGUCACCCUUGGUGGUUCCCCGUAUCCGGGCAUCGACAAUCAGGAUUUGUUCCAUCUCCUCAAAGAUGGCUACCGCAUGGAAAAGCCUGAUAACUGUUCUCAUGAAAUAUACCAGAUAAUGUUGAGCUGUUGGCACCCUAAGCCCCAGGAUCGCCCCUCGUUUGCGGAACUCACGUGUCAACUGGAUAAACUGCUGGAAGCCACGAGUUCGUACAUAGAUCUGUCUGUGAUGGUUAGCGAGGACUACUACCAACCUUCCACCAGCGAAGACACCCCUUGUAUAAACGCGUACUCCGGCUCUGUCCAGCAAGCUUCGGCGACACCACUGACUACCGCACCAAGCGGUGACUGCGAGGACAUCUGCUCGGCAGAGAACGACGUCGACGACACAUCCACGUGGGACAAAGACACUUACGACAGCGGCCAGACCGACCUGGACAUGUCGAUAUCGUCGUACGACCAGGAUCUGGGCUUCCACUGUGACCAGAGUACCAGCGUGGCACUGAUGAAGGCGCCGUCGCUGAGGUACGGAAUGCUCAGCCUGUUGGGGAAGAUGGGCCAACGAGGUAUCGAGUCGCGCCAGAAACUCCACAGACAGUCUGUGAGCAUGUCGGAACUGUUCAAUAUCGAGGAUGAUGACACGUGUAAACACAGACUUGGAUCGGCGCAGUUGCCUUUGUUUUAAACUGAAAAAACAACAACAGGAACAAGUAUCUGCGUCACAGAUGGGUUGCUGAACGACAGAAUUUUUUUUAAAACAUGAUCUGAUGCAUCAUAGGACUGGACCAAAAGUGGAAAUGUAAAACAUGAUCUGAUGCAUCAUAGGGCAGGACCGAAUGUGGAAAUGUAAAUCAUGAUCUAAUACGUCAUGGGGGUAGCAAUUGCUUGAAAUUUCUGGCGGACAUUCAGUCUGGCAUGUUAUCGAUUAUGUCGGACAUAAUCAAAACCUGCCGGACCACACAUGGCGAUAAACGCAAAAUAAGUGUCGGUCCGACGGGACGAGCGGCUGAACGAUCUCCUGGACCGUGGUGAUGUUAACCGACAGACACCGGUCGGUUGGGACGACGAUGAUUCGACCAUUGUGAUGGAUAAAUGAAUUCAUACGGAUGGACAGACCAAAGUCUCGUGUGUUAUCUUUAGCAGUCUUUGUGAUAUAGACAUUCAGACAUGCUUGAGAAGGACAACAACCCAAGACUAAGACAAAGAGGCUAUUUGUGAAGUAGUUGUUAUUUGCAAUGUGUAUGUUGCUUGCAAAGUAUUGUUAUUUGCAAAGGUAUUGUUAUUUU